GCCCGGUUAGCUCAAUCGGUAGAGCGUGAGACUCUUAAUCUCAAGGUUGCGGGUAUGUCUACAUAAUGAAUGUUUGGGCUGUACCCUCUUGUUAACAUUGGUGUUGUAGGUUCGACCCCCGCAUCGGGCU